rnacentral:tRNA from 1 species
GCCGCCGUAGACCAACGGCAGAGUCACUGGCAUGAGAGGCCAGCAAGUGAAGGUUCGACUCCUUUCGGCGGCA